rnacentral:rRNA from 1 species
CUAUCUGCAGUCGAGCGAAGAGAUGGGAGCUUGCUCCCUGAUCUUAGCGGCGGACGGGUGAGUAACACGUGGGCAACCUGCCCUGCAGACUGGGAUAACUCCGGGAAACCGGAGCUAAUACCGGGUAAUACAUCGCACCGCAUGGUGCAAUGUUGAAAGUUGGCUUUCUGAGCUAACACUGCAGGAUGGGCCCGCGGCGCAUUAGCUAGUUGGUAAGGUAAUGGCUUACCAAGGCGACGAUGCGUAGCCGACCUGAGAGGGUGAUCGGCCACACUGGGACUGAGACACGGCCCAGACUCCUACGGGAGGCAGCAGUAGGGAAUCUUCCGCAAUGGACGAAAGUCUGACGGAGCAACGCCGCGUGAGUGACGAAGGCCUUCGGGUCGUAAAGCUCUGUUGUUAGGGAAGAACAAGUACCGUUCGAAUAGGGCGGUACCUUGACGGUACCUAACCAGAAAGCCACGGCUAACUACGUGCCAGCAGCCGCGGUAAUACGUAGGUGGCAAGCGUUGUCCGGAAUUAUUGGGCGUAAAGCGCGCGCAGGCGGUCUUUUAAGUCUGAUGUGAAAGCCCACGGCUCAACCGUGGAGGGUCAUUGGAAACUGGAGGACUUGAGUGCAGAAGAGGAGAGUGGAAUUCCACGUGUAGCGGUGAAAUGCGUAGAUAUGUGGAGGAACACCAGUGGCGAAGGCGGCUCUCUGGUCUGUAACUGACGCUGAGGCGCGAAAGCGUGGGGAGCAAACAGGAUUAGAUACCCUGGUAGUCCACGCCGUAAACGAUGAGUGCUAGGUGUUGGGGGGUUCCACCCUCAGUGCUGAAGUUAACACAUUAAGCACUCCGCCUGGGGAGUACGACCGCAAGGGUUGAACUCAAGGAAUUGACGGGGGCCCGCACAAGCAGUGAGCAUGUGGUUUAUUUCGAGCACGCGAAGACUUACAGUCUGACAUCCUCUGACAUCUGAGACAGACGUCCCUCGGGGACGAGUGACAGUGGUGCAUGAUGUCGUCAGCUCAGUCUGGAAUGUGGGUUAAGUCCGCACGAGCCAUCCUUGAUCUAGUGCAGCAUUAGUGGCACUAGGUACUGCAGUCACAAUCGGAGAAUCGCUGCGGG